UAUUGUGACAUGUGUCAAUAAAAAAAAUAGAUUGUGAAUGUGUCAAUAAAAACUGAUAUUAUGUGAAAAUAACUUAUUAUUUUCCUAAAAUCCUAAAAAAAAAAGAUUUAUAAAAAAUAUAUAUAUUUUCUAAUAUUAACAAACUAAUAUUUUUUUCUUUUUUAGAUCCUGAACAAAGAAUUGUAAAAUUUUAUUUAAUAGUAAUUUUUACUUAAACAUUAAUGAUAAACAUGAAAGUAACAGUUAUUUAAUUAACAAAUUUUUUAAAAAAAUAUUAGUGAUAUUACAAAAAGAAUUUUUAAAAUGGAAACUUUUAAAAAUAGUUAAUAUAAACUGGAAAUAAUUAUUUGAUAAAAAUGUUUUUUUAAAUCCUAAACAAAAUAUAAUUCUAAAUGAUUAUGUAAUAUUAAUUUCCUAUCUAAAAUCCUAAAAAACUGUAAAAGAAUAUUUGAUAUUUAUUUCCUUCUUUAUAAAAGAAAUCCUAAAUAAAAUAAAUUUGUAUCAUAUUUUGAAGUCCUAACCAAAAGAGAAUUGUAAAAUUUUAUUUGAUAAUAUUUUUAAGAGAGUAUUUGAUGAUGAAGAAGAUACUAAAAAUUAUUUAAUAAUAAAAGAAUCACUACAAGAAAACAUAUUUUUUACGAGGGCAAUAUUCGUUGUAAAUUCGUCGUAAACGGGGUAUUACGACGAAUUAACCUCGAAAGAUGUUUUGUCGUAAAACGUCCGUCGUAACAGAGGUUUUGUCGUAAACGACUUGUUACGUUUACGACAAAAUAUAUUCCUCUUAAAGCGCAUGGCAUCGUUUCGUCGUAAACGAGACGUAAUACUUCGUGGUAAACUCCACGUAACGGUUUUGGUGUAAAGCAGACGUAAAUUCUUUCGUUGUAAAGAACACGUAAACGUUUCGAUGUAAAACCCUCGUAAAUCUUUCGACGUUAAUCACUCGUAAACAUUUACGUGGAGUUUACAUCGAUUCUUAUUAAUAUAUAAUAAAUUUGAAUAUUUUUUUAACCUCAAAUAUAAAUUUAAAUUUAUUUAAAAUUCAGAAUUUAAAAUAAUUUAAAUUUUAAAACGAAAUAUGAAAAUGAAAAACAUAUUUUAAAAAAGCAUUAAAAAGUCAUACAAUAAUAUUUAAAUUCAUAAUACAAACCGAAAUAUAAAAAACUACAUAUCAUCGAAGUAGUCGGUGGGGUUGCUCGGCUGUUGACGGGUUGGAUCGGACUCUUGGGGAUCUCGUACUGGCAACUCAAGAGCGGCCUCGUCUCUCACUCAACAUUCUCUGCAUAACCGGGUUUCCCACGGCCAUCACGUCUAGCAAAUCCUCAAGAGAGUCUAAACGAACUUGCUGGCUAUACAUUCGAGCUUUCAUCUGAGAAGUCUCUUCAUCCCGUCUCGAAGUGUAUGACGAAGUUGCCCUUGCAACUUCGUUAACAGAGCCUAUACCGACUAUCCGUCCCUUCCUUUUAGGAGCCACCUAUAAAAUUAAAACAUAUAUUAAUAUAGUUAAUUAUGUUAAAAUAUUAAAAAUAAUUUAAACAAAAAUUUUAAGUUGUACCUCUUCGAAGAUUCUGUCGGCGUCUUCGGUGGACAAUGUGACGGGUAAUCCAUCGGGAGAAUCCUAGGUUACUUGCGUCGCCCGUUCUUCAAUCCGAGAAGCCACUGCUUGUAAGAGUUUCUCAGAUGCAGGAUCCACAAAAACUCCGUCGGAUGUGGCGUGAGUCAUCUUGAAUAGGUCAGACAGAGAUGGUAAGAUUCCCGUCUUCUCUAACUACAAAAAAAAAUUAAAUUAAAUAUUAAAAAUUAAAUUAAUUGAAAAUUUAAAAAUAAAUAUUUUAAACAAAACUUACAGCUUCUAGACGGAUUCCUGCAUGAGGUUUUUGUCCGGUUCUGUGAAGCAUGGACAAAUGACCAUCUUUAUCCUUCGUUCUUCGAGAAGCCGAGCACGAAUUGGCCUUUUUGAUGGAAGAGGGGUGCUCCCAAUAGGCGAUGAGGCCAUCCCACACAUCCUUCGUGAGCUCAGUGGGCUUUCCCUCAUACCCGUAGAUCUCCCACUUGUCCUUCCAAUCGGAGACUGUGUUGCAGAGGCGGAUCUUUGCCUUUGCAACGAAUUCCGCCUUCACCUUCUCGGUGAUUCCCAAAGACCAAUGCCACUUUUGCUGAAACACAAUUUUUUUGAAGAAAUUAUAAUUAAUAAUAAAUAUUAAAAUAUAUAUAUAUAUAUAUUUAAAAGUGAAAAUUUAAUUAAAUUUAAAAUCUUACCGCAAAACAUUUAAACCAAGUGAUCUUAACGUGAUUUGGUGUAUUGCUCCAGUUCGGAUAUGCCCCGUCGUAAUAACUCUUAAUCGUCUUCGAAACGCUCCGGCUAACAUGGUUGUUAGCCCCAAACCUGAAAAAAAACAAUAUAACCGUUAGAAAAUAAAAAUAAUUUAAAUUUUAAUGUAAUAAAAAUUAAUAACUUACCAAUAAGUUCCUCGGGGUCUAUCGGGGUCUAGAACAUCCAAACCCUUCCGACCAGGCUGGGCAAGCAAAUCCUCCACCGUAUAUCUCGCGAAUGGGGCAUAUGAAGGCACACGCAAAUCCGGAUGAACUGCACCUUCUGGGACAGGCUGAGGUGCAGCCGCUGGAGGAGGAGGUGGAGGCAUCUGCGGUGGAAGAGGAGGACUCCAAGCAACUCUCUGAGAAGGCUGAGAGUCUGGAACUGCAUCAGAAGACGAUGGACCGGAAGAAGAUGUACCGGAACCAUCGCCAAAGAACUGGGAAUAAGUAGGUGCUGCUGAUUUCCUCCUAGGAGCCAUCUAAAAAAAAUUAAAAUAAAUUUAAUCAAUUACGACAUAAUUAAAAAGUUAUUCUGUUACCUAACUAAUCACCUAAACUAGUAUUCCGUCACCUAACUAAUCACCUAAACUAAUUAUCUAACUAAUCACCUAAACUAAUUACCUAACUAAUUAAUCACCUAAACUAACUUCAAAAAAAAAGAGGGCAGAGAGUUUACCUUAGAGGGAGAGCAAAGGAGUUUGGGAGGAAUGAACGAGGCAGCCUCGCUCUCGGCGUCUCAUUAUAUAGAUAAUGAUUCGUCGUAAACGCAACGUAAUAUUACGACGAAGUUAUCAGGCCCGCGUUUUUCCAUUUACAACGAAGUUACCAGGCCCGUGUUUUUUCAUUUAUGACGAAAUUACCAGGUCCGUGUUUUUCCGUUUACGACGAAAUUACGUUGAAUAGGUUUACCAGGCUUUUCCAUUUACGACGAAUUUACGACGCUUAACCCUAAACACCGAGAAUGAAAUCCCUAAACCCCAAAGUCACAUAUCAUCUAACAUCAUAUCUUAUUCUUUACUACUUCUCACUCUUUCUCCAACUUAAACCCUAAAACUCCAAAUAAAUUUUUAAAAACUAAAGAUGAAAAAUUAUAUAAAACAACAUUUGUUACACAUAUAUUAAGAUGGUAAAAAAACAAUAUUUCUUUAAACAUACAUUACAAUAGAGAAAUACAACAUUUGUUACGUAUAUUACAUCACUAAAUCAUUUUUCGUUCUCAUCACUAUCAUUACAAUCAUCAUCGUCGCUUCUCUCGAACUCGUCUUCACGUGCUUCAUCUGUCGCAUCUUCGGGAAUAUCUUCAUAUUGAAAGUUCUGCGGGUAGAUCAAAAGGAUUUCAUCAGUUGGUUGUUCUAGUACCUCAACUUCAGUGAUAGCGUCUUCUUCUUGCAAGGGCGGUUCUUCUCCAGCGACAAUGCGUCCACGAGGUGUAAUUUUGAUAGCAGCUACCCAGUUUAUCCCGGAAGUUCGAAGCCGAGGAUAAGGAAGGAAGCUAACUUGCUCAGCUUGUGAAGCUAAAAAGAAAGGCUCAAAUUUGUUGUAUAUUCUCUCAUAAUUGACAUCCACAACACCAAAUUUGUUAUACCGAAUCCCUCGGUUCACAACAGGAUCGAACCAUUCACAUUUGAAGAGGACGCAUUUUAGCUUCAAUAACCCCGGAAAUUCCACUUCAAUAAUCUCCUGCAAUAUCCCGUAAAAGUUUGUUUCACCUUUCACACAUAUUCCGUAGUUACUCGUUGCCUGAUGUCUCUCAUACUUGUAUGUGUGAAAGGUAAAUCAUCAUGUGAAAUACAUAGGUGAUGUGGUGACCUUUGCAACUGGACCUUGAACCAAUUCGUGAAACCAUACGGGAUAAUAUGGAUCGUCAUAAUCAACCUGCAAAAAGCAGAUUUUCUUAAUUAAUAUUGAAGUAUCAAAACACUUACUUAAUUAAUCAAUGUAUGAGAUAUAUUACGUACCUGUGAUUUUAACCACUUGACAAAGUACUUAUCUUUACGUGUGUCCACAUCAGUUGCAGAUAUUCCUGGUAUUGCUUCUUCAACUUGAAAUACAAACAUGCUGCAAAUUAAACAAAUAAUCAAGUCAUACAUAAUUAACUUCAAUUCAUAUAAUUAACUUUCACAAAAAUAUUUAC